rnacentral:rRNA from 1 species
UUAGUCCUACGGGGGGCAGCAGUGAGGAAUAUUGGUCAAUGGACGAGAGUCUGAACCAGCCAAGUAGCGUGAAGGAUGACUGCCCUAUGGGUUGUAAACUUCUUUUAUAUGGGAAUAAAACAGGGUAUGCAUACCCUCUUGUAUGUACCAUAUGAACAAGCAUCGGCUAACUCCGUGCCAGCAGCCGCGGUAAUACGGAGGAUGCGAGCGUUAUCCGGAUUUAUUGGGUUUAAAGGGUGCGCAGGCGGUCUGUUAAGUCAGCGGUCAAAGCCCGGGGCUCAACCCCGGCCCGCCGUUGAAACUGG